rnacentral:snoRNA from 1 species
ACAUUUGAAGUGAUGAGAAAUUUUUUCAUUAUUAUACAGUUAUCCCUGUCUUAAUAAAUUAUGUCGAGAAAUUAUAAUCUGAAAAUUAU